GCUUGAAUAGCUUAUAACAUAGAGCAUGGCACUGAAGAUGCCAGGGAGGCGAAUUUACGCCUUCGAGCA
rnacentral:tRNA from 1 species